rnacentral:rRNA from 1 species
CAGUAGCCGCGGUAAUACGUAGGGUGCAAGCGUUAAUCGGAAUUACUGGGCGUAAAGCGUGCGCAGGCGGUUAUAUAAGACAGAUGUGAAAUCCCCGGGCUCAACCUGGGAACUGCAUUUGUGACUGUAUAGCUAGAGUACGGCAGAGGGGGAUGGAAUUCCGCGUGUAGCAGUGAAAUGCGUAGAUAUGCGGAGGAACACCGAUGGCGAAGGCAAUCCCCUGGGCCUGUACUGACGCUCAUGCACGAAAGCGUGGGGAGCAAACAGGAUUAGAGACCCGAGUAGUCCCUGUCUCUUAUAC